GCCAUGACUGCAAGCUGCUUCGCCUGGUCUGAGUGCUAGCCCUGCUUUCUCCCCUGGUGAAGACUUCCACUCCAACGCGGCAGCAGAGAGCUCGGUGUGGGCGGUGGCUGGAUGAAUCAUGCACACAACCCACUUCAAUGGAUUAAAUCAUAUUUGCAUAUUUAUUAUUCUCUCGAGUAACAAAUAUUUUGCAAUCCCACCAUCCUCUUUUUAUAUUAUCAUACACACUAUUGUCCUAGUAUUCUUUGUGUAUUUUCAGAGAAAACCUCAUUUACAUCUAUGUAAAACACUUGCGAAGUACUACAUAAAUAAAGUACUAUACACACACUUUGAGGGGACUCUCCAUUUAAUUUCUAUGGGCAUAACCCUAAUUGCAACUAUGACAACCUUAACCUUAAUAUCAUUUUCUUUCACUGCCCUCUACUUUUGCGCAGUAUUGU